rnacentral:lncRNA from 1 species
UGGAGCUUACCCAAGGGAAGGAUGGGUCUUGGAAGAGAGAAAUGAAGAAAUUCUGCUGCUCAAAAUGCUGAAAUGAAGAUUUUUUUGGAAUUGAAGUGUUGAAUGAUCACAUCUAGGUUAUAAAUCAUCAACUGCACCCGUCUGAUAGUUCCGCGGAUAUUAACCGCGGAACGCUUAAAAAACUCCCGCUGAUCCGCGGAAAAAAUACGCGGAACGUCUAUUGAAAACAGCCCUUCCGCGGAAAAAAACCGCGGAACGC